rnacentral:lncRNA from 1 species
CCUCAUCCUUAUCCACUCCCGCUACACACGCCCAAUCAGCCUCUCGCUCCCUCAUCCCUAUCCCCGACGCAGCACCCUCCCCCACACCCCGACGAGGCUCGCGAUGCGCUUCCACCCCUGGCACGACGCCCUCCCUCACCCGUGGCGAAGCGCGCGGCGCCCUCUCCACCCUCGGUGCAGCGCCCUCCCCCACACCAGGACGAGGUGAGGCACAGUGGUGAAAAGCGCGGCGUCCUCCCCCACACCGGUGUCCCCUCGGCUGCUUUCCUCCACCAUGGCGUACUCUCCUACCAGGAUCCCCCAACCUAGCGCGACACUCUCCCCACCUCGGUACAGCAUCAUCCCCAUCCUCUGGUGGCACUCUCUCACCCCCGGUGACUGAGCUCCUCUCACCCGACAGCCAUGACGCUCCCAGUGCUAGGAUCUCUUCCCCACCCUAUGUUGCAAUUGUAUGUUUCAAUUGUUUCAGAAGGUCUAGAGGUAUGUUUCAGUGAAAUCUAUAUAUAGAUGUUGCAAAAGUAAAUCGGGGCAUGUUGCAUAUGUUGUAAUUAUUUUCAAGGGAAUGUUGCAAUAGCAUGUUUCAAAUGUUUCAGAUGUAUAAGAGGUAUGCUUCAUGUGUGUUUUCUGGAUGCACGUUGAUGUUGUGUUUAUGUGGAUGUUGCAGUGUUUUAUUCGGAUAUUGUGUAUUGUUGCAAUGGCUUUCAAGUGUGUUUCAUAUGUGUUUCACAAAUAUAUUUUAAGUGUUUCAUCUACCUUGAAAAGUAUGUUGCAAUUGUUCAAUCUCCAUGUUUCAAAAGUAGUUCGGAGGUGUUUGUACAUGUUGCAAUGGCGUCGGUGACUGGCGAACAAUAGCUUGUUGCAGGGCUUUUGGCUCCUACCUCAUGCGGCGCACCUCACCCUCUCCUCUCCUUCCCCCUUCCCUUCUCUUCAUUUUUCCGCAACAGUUUGAGCUUAUCCUUGAUGUGGCGUUCAGUGCUUCUUCAGCGAGAUGGGAUGCGAGCGGCGGUGCUGCAUCCGUACGCAGGGCACUGCGUGUGAUGGACGCUGGUGGGGCAUGCUAGUGCGGGAUGAAGCCCAUCUUCAUAUUUGCGGGCAGGGCGUCCAGACGCGUGCUGUCCGCCGGACGUCCGUGCGCUAUAUACUCCCCAGGCUAAUGGGACCUAGCACGGCCGCACACUCCGUAUGAGAUCCGGACAGCCCGACAUCUACAAUGACAACUAAUGAGUGUUUAUAAUACAUGUUUUAGUGAGUACAUUAUAUAUUCCUUUAAUAGCAUGACAUGUCUGAUAAACAAAAUUAAAAUAUGAAAGAAUUAAACUCUAGGUAAUAACUUUAAAUAUCAUAAUUUCAAUCUAAAUAAUUUUAGAGCUGAGGUCAUCGGUAUAUAUCAGCAUGCAGUUCAUCUCAAUUAAUCAUUAAUCACCUUGUCAUUACAACUCACAAAAAUCCAAGGGCUAGCUAGAUGGCUAGAUGCACCUUUACAAGUCUUUUUUUUUUUUAUCUUUUUCUUGGUAUGCAUGGCAAAUUACAAGUUACAAUGUGGUGUUACUAUGUUGCAAUAGCUUCAACAAGCUAACUAUAUUGUAUCUUGAUUUUUUAACCAUAACGAAGCGCUAGAAUAUGUUCAUGUACAAUAAAAAAUGUGCAAAACUAGUCCCCAGAUCAUGUGGUUGGUGCAUGUUGUAGCCCUGAGCAAGGUCAUGGAUAAUUAUAGUCUUGAAAGAAUAAGUGGGGUUGGACGCCCUAUUUGGAUCAUAUUAAGUCUCUAUCCACUUUUGCAGUUAUUAAGUAAGAGCAAUAGACCGAUUUAAAUUAUUUUGAGAUUUGUAUUUUGCUGUCAUGAUUCUAACACAAGAGGCGUGAGUCGAGCUUAACCUGCCAUCAUAGUGGGCUUGAGCCAGGUUUGUUUUCAUCGUGCUAAAUGUAGAAAUUAAGUAAUAUAUCAUUUUAUAUACUGAAAAGAAAUAGACACUACACAAGACACCAUUUUCAAAAAAAAAAAAGAUUAGUCACCUCUUUAGAUAAUCCGCUUGAAAAAAAAGUCUAAGUUGACCAACUAAUGCAUUAUAAAGAUGUGGUGCAAUGAGAUGGACUUAACCUAAUUUCUAGGAAUGGAACAAUCCAUGAUCUUUGUUUGGGUGAGGGUGGAAUGAUUCUUGUUAUCUUUUUUUAUUUAGUUCAUGAACCCAAAAUUUUAGAUCACACACCUUAUAUGUGGGGCUAGUGUUGACCUAUUAGUCUUUAUAUUUUGAUGUUCUACCAUCUGUCUCCUCGUUUGGUUCUUUCUUCGUCCAAGAUCAUGGUCAUAGGCAUCACCCCUGCGCGCCCGCUGCCCUCGAGGCCACGCUUGGUGCAUGACUCAGAUGCCAGUGCCUUAAACUCUCCUCAUGUCUGCCACCCUCGGCUCUCAACGCGUGCCAUCGCCGCCCUUGGUCUAUGCUUGGUGCGGGCCUCGAAUGUUGGCACCCUCCUAUCUACGCAAUCGCCGCCCUGACUAUCCAUGUGUAGCCAAUGCAGAGCUCGCCCAUUGUUGUGCUCACUUCCACGGGUUUGACUAGUCUCAGCAGGUAUGUGACGUGUCCUUCUCUCCUCCCCCACGCACUCACGCGAACGACUCCUCUAUCUCCAUCCCCUCGAUUCAUAGGGACCACGAAGGACGACAUAUAUUCUACUUAGAACCGUCUUGUCCCCUAUUGCCUCGGAGCCAAACACCACAAAAGACGUACUCACCCAUCCCAUUCUCUAUUAUCCCAAAACCAAACACAUGCUAAUUGAAUCAACGACCAUCAGUUUAGGUAUGUCCAUAAGUUUUGAUUCCAAACCUGAUUUAGAAAAAAACAAACUCUCACACAAUAUGAAAAAAUGGACUAAAUUCGAGAUACUAUAGGCCUGCUUGGUUGGGUUUCAAAACUUGCCCAACCAAAAUAAUGGCAAGCCAAAAUUAAGGCUUGUCAAAGUUAGGGCAACAAAUGUAAAGACGCAAUUGGUUGAGUGCCAUGACAUAGUAGUGAGCUUUUUUCCUUUUAUGAGAUUGAAGAAAUUUAGUUUUGCCAUGAUUUUAGCCAUAAAAAUUGAUUUACCAAUUUUUUGUAACUAGAUAUAUAUGUCCAUGCAAUGCACCAGGGUCACAACGUUUUGCAGUGAGAUUCGAGGACUUCAUAUUGGAUGGUGGAUGUGUGGAUCCGGUCUUCGGACCAGAAUCAAAUAGGACAUGGAUGUGUGAGCUUCGAUAAAAAUAGAAUUCGCGUCGGACGCAGAUAUGUGAGUACGAGGAUCAAAAUUUUGUCUUCUAUAUAAAAAAAGAUCAAGAUUUGAUAUUAUUGGGUAGAUGAUGACUUUAGAGUCUUUUUAGGUGUAGAUUGAUAAUAUUAUAUAAUUAUAAUUAUAUUAUUUAUAUUAUAUAGAUAGAUAGAUAGAAAAAAUAUAUUAGAUUGGAUUAGAUAAGAUAAGAUUAGAUAGAGAUAGAGAUGGACCAAUCAAUAGCUAGAUUUUAAAGGUAUAUGCCUUAGAGCAUCUUCAACACUCCCAAAAAUAAUAUGGAGAGAAAAAAAAGAUUCCAUUUCCAACAGUUUGUCAAAAACCCAAAAACUCGCUAACGAAAGGAAGAGCCCCACUACGUGAACAAAGAGCCCCACUAAGCGAACGGAGCCCCGCUAAGCAUGAGAAGAAAGACCGAUACCAAGCAUGGAGCUCGCGCGCAUAUUUACGUGCUAGACAAGCAUAUAUGUCAAGUUAGAAAAUAUGGAGAAUUGGGUUUCCAAACAGUUGGAGAAGUUUUUUUUUUCUUAUUUUGCUAAAAAAAUUAUGGAUGGGAAGUCAUUUUAUGGGUGUUUAGAUCCCCAUAAAACACAAAAUGUAAAAUGCUAACUAUUUUGGAAUGAUGGAAUACAA